ensembl:lncRNA
AGUUGAUUGAGUUUGCUCAGCCACAGCCCAGGGGACCCCAGACAAUAUUACAGGAUACAGGCUUCCUACUUCCUUUCUGUCCUCCCCUCUGUCAUCCUCUCUUAUCCUUCCUACUUUAUCCUGUCUUCCCUCCUUCCUUCCCCUGUCCUCCAUGAUGGUCAGCAGUUCCCGGCCCAGUUGCUCUCCUCAUUUUAGCAUACUGAUGUCAUUUAGACUCAUUAGUAGAACCAGGACCACCAGUGCAGUGGUCUCGGUAUGGUGUCAAACACAGGGAAGUAAAAAAUACAGUUCAAAGUGGGUCUUUCCAUCAGUUUUUUAAGUAAUACAUUCAUUAUUUAGUUAUUACCGAUCCACAAAUGUUUAUUUCUGCGUGGUCCUCGCACUCAACUGCCAAUGAAGAGAACUUUUGUCAGGUAGACUGACAAGUUGAUUAAGCAUAC